rnacentral:rRNA from 1 species
CCUGAGAGAUGAUCAGGUAGAUAGGUCAGGAGUGGAAGUACAGUGAUGUAUGGAGCGGACUGAUACUAAUCGAUCGAGGACUUAACCAA